rnacentral:rRNA from 1 species
AUUGAACGCUGGCGGCAUGCCUUACACAUGCAAGUCGAACGGCAGCACGGGUGCUUGCACCUGGUGGCGAGUGGCGAACGGGUGAGUAAUACAUCGGAACGUACCUUAUCGUGGGGGAUAACGCAGCGAAAGCUGUGCUAAUACCGCAUACGCCCUGAGGGGGAAAGCGGGGGAUCGCAAGACCUCGCGCGAUUAGAGCGGCCGAUUCCUGUUUAGCUUGUUGGUGGGGUAAAAGCCCACCAAGGCGACGAUCAGUAGCUGGUCUGAGAGGACGAUCAGCCACACUGGGACUGAGACACGGCCCAGACUCCUACGGGAGGCAGCAGUGGGGAAUUUUGGACAAUGGGGGCAACCCUGAUCCAGCAAUGCCGCGUGAGUGAAGAAGGCCUUCGGGUUGUAAAGCUCUUUUGUCAGGGAAGAAACACCGGCUCUAACACAGUCCGGGAAUGACGGUACCUGAAGAAUAAGCACCGGCUAACUACGUGCCAGCAGCCGCCGUAA